ACCCGGCUAGCUCAGUCGGUAGAGCACGGAACUCUUAAUCUCGGGUCGGUUCGAACCCCGUUGGGCG